rnacentral:rRNA from 1 species
GGUUAAGCGACUAAGCGUACACGGUGGAUGCCCUGGCAGUCAGAGGCGAUGAAGGACGUGCUAAUCUGCGAAAAGCGUCGGUAAGGUGAUAUGAACCGUUACAGCCGGCGAUGUCCGAAUGGGGAAACCCAGUGUGAUUCGUCACACUAUCGUUAACUGAAUACAUAGGUUAACGAGGCGAACCGGGGGAACUGAAACAUCUAAGUACCCCGAGGAAAAGAAAUCAACCGAGAUUCCCCCAGUAGCGGCGAGCGAACGGGGAGCAGCCCAGAGUCUGAAUCAGCUUGUGUGUUAGUGGAACGGUCUGGAAAGUCCGACGGUACAGGGUGAUAGUCCCGUACACCAAAAUGCACAGGCUGUGAACUCGAAGAGUAGGGCGGGACACGUGGUAUCCUGUCUGAAUAUGGGGGGACCAUCCUCCAAGGCUAAAUACUCCUGACUGACCGAUAGUGAACCAGUACCGUGAGGGAAAGGCGAAAAGAACCCCGGCGAGGGGAGUGAAAAAGAACCUGAAACCGUGUACGUACAAGCAGUGGGAGCACCUUCGGGUGUGACUGCGUACCUUUUGUAUAAUGGGUCAGCGACUUAUAUUCUGUAGCAAGGUUAACCGUAUAGGGGAGCCGCAGGGAAACCGAGUCUUAACUGGGCGUUAAGUUGCAGGGUAUAGACCCGAAACCCGGUGAUCUAGCCAUGGGCAGGUUGAAGGUUGGGUAACACUAACUGGAGGACCGAACCGACUAAUGUUGAAAAAUUAGCGGAUGACUUGUGGCUGGGGGUGAAAGGCCAAUCAAACCGGGAGAUAGCUGGUUCUCCCCGAAAGCUAUUUAGGUAGCGCCUCGUGAAUUCAUCUUCGGGGGUAGAGCACUGUUUCGGCUAGGGGGUCAUCCCGACUUACCAACCCGAUGCAAACUACGAAUACCGAAGAAUGUUAUCACGGGAGACACACGGCGGGUGCUAACGUCCGUCGUGAAGAGGGAAACAACCCAGACCGCCAGCUAAGGUCCCAAAGUCAUGGUUAAGUGGGAAACGAUGUGGGAAGGCACAGACAGCCAGGAUGUUGGCUUAGAAGCAGCCAUCAUUUAAAGAAAGCGUAAUAGCUCACUGGUCGAGUCGGCCUGCGCGGAAGAUGUAACGGGGCUAAACCAUGCACCGAAGCUGCGGCAGCGACACUAUGUGUUGUUGGGUAGGGGAGCGUUCUGUAAGCCUGCGAAGGUGACCUGUGAGGGUUGCUGGAGGUAUCAGAAGUGCGAAUGCUGACAUAAGUAACGAUAAAGCGGGUGAAAAGCCCGCUCGCCGGAAGACCAAGGGUUCCUGUCCAACGUUAAUCGGGGCAGGGUGAGUCGACCCCUAAGGCGAGGCCGAAAGGCGUAGUCGAUGGGAAACAGGUUAAUAUUCCUGUACUUGGUGUUACUGCGAAGGGGGGACGGAGAAGGCUAUGUUAGCCGGGCGACGGUUGUCCCGGUUUAAGCAUGUAGGCUGGUUAUCCAGGCAAAUCCGGAUAAUCAAGGCUGAGGUGUGAUGACGAGGCACUACGGUGCUGAAGUAACAAAUGCCCUGCUUCCAGGAAAAGCCUCUAAGCAUCAGGUAACAUCAAAUCGUACCCCAAACCGACACAGGUGGUCAGGUAGAGAAUACCAAGGCGCUUGAGAGAACUCGGGUGAAGGAACUAGGCAAAAUGGUGCCGUAACUUCGGGAGAAGGCACGCUGGUGUGUAGGUGAAGUCCCUGCGGAUGGAGCUGAGACCAGUCGAAGAUACCAGCUGGCUGCAACUGUUUAUUAAAAACACAGCACUGUGCAAACACGAAAGUGGACGUAUACGGUGUGACGCCUGCCCGGUGCCGGAAGGUUAAUUGAUGGGGUUAUCCGUAAGGAGAAGCUCUUGAUCGAAGCCCCGGUAAACGGCGGCCGUAACUAUAACGGUCCUAAGGUAGCGAAAUUCCUUGUCGGGUAAGUUCCGACCUGCACGAAUGGCGUAAUGAUGGCCAGGCUGUCUCCACCCGAGACUCAGUGAAAUUGAACUCGCUGUGAAGAUGCAGUGUACCCGCGGCAAGACGGAAAGACCCCGUGAACCUUUACUAUAGCUUGACACUGAACAUUGAGCCUUGAUGUGUAGGAUAGGUGGGAGGCUUUGAAGCGUGGACGCCAGUCUGCGUGGAGCCAACCUUGAAAUACCACCCUUUAAUGUUUGAUGUUCUAACGUUGGCCCCUUAUCGGGGUUGCGGACAGUGUCUGGUGGGUAGUUUGACUGGGGCGGUCUCCUCCCAAAGCGUAACGGAGGAGCACGAAGGUUAGCUAAUCCUGGUCGGACAUCAGGAGGUUAGUGCAAUGGCAUAAGCUAGCUUGACUGCGAGCGUGACGGCGCGAGCAGGUGCGAAAGCAGGUCAUAGUGAUCCGGUGGUUCUGAAUGGAAGGGCCAUCGCUCAACGGAUAAAAGGUACUCCGGGGAUAACAGGCUGAUACCGCCCAAGAGUUCAUAUCGACGGCGGUGUUUGGCACCUCGAUGUCGGCUCAUCACAUCCUGGGGCUGAAGUAGGUCCCAAGGGUAUGGCUGUUCGCCAUUUAAAGUGGUACGCGAGCUGGGUUUAGAACGUCGUGAGACAGUUCGGUCCCUAUCUGCCGUGGGCGCUGGAGAAUUGAGGGGGGCUGCUCCUAGUACGAGAGGACCGGAGUGGACGCAUCACUGGUGUUCGGGUUGUCAUGCCAAUGGCACUGCCCGGUAGCUAAAUGCGGAAGAGAUAAGUGCUGAAAGCAUCUAAGCACGAAACUUGCCCCGAGAUGAGUUCUCCCUGAGACUUUAAGUCUCCUGAAGGAACGUUGAAGACGACGACGUUGAUAGGCCGGGUGUGUAAGCGCAGCGAUGCGUUGAGCUAACCGGUACUAAUGAACCGUGAGGCUUAACCUU